GCACUGCUGACGAGUCCCCAAAACAGGACGAAAUAACUGUCCAGUAC
rfam:Echinostoma caproni strain Egypt genome assembly, scaffold: ECPE_scaffold0002293